rnacentral:rRNA from 1 species
GACGAACGCUGGCGGCGUGCUUAACACAUGCAAGUCGAGCGGUAAGGCCCUUUCGGGGGUACACGAGCGGCGAACGGGUGAGUAACACGUGGGUGACCUGCCCUCAGCUCUGGGAUAAGCCUGGGAAACUGGGUCUAAUACCGGAUAUGACCUUCCAUCGCAUGGUGGGGGGUGGAAAGUUUUUCGGCUGGGGAUGGGCCCGCGGCCUAUCAGCUUGUUGGUGGGGUGAUGGCCUACCAAGGCGACGACGGGUAGCCGGCCUGAGAGGGCGACCGGCCACACUGGGACUGAGACACGGCCCAGACUCCUACGGGAGGCAGCAGUGGGGAAUAUUGCGCAAUGGGCGGAAGCCUGACGCAGCGACGCCGCGUGGGGGAUGACGGCCUUCGGGUUGUAAACCUCUUUCGACCGGGACGAAGCGUGAGUGACGGUACCGGUAGAAGAAGCACCGGCCAACUACGUGCCAGCCGCCGCCGUAACAC